rnacentral:lncRNA from 1 species
CUGGCAUCUCCUGCAUGCACACAGCAGACCCCACAGCAGGGCUGUCUCACCAGGAGACCGCAGACCCAGCGGCCAGCUCCCUCCAGCUCAGGAAGUGGCAUGGGGUGAGGGCUUCCUGCUGCUCCCUGGCCCACUGUGCUGUAGCUCCAGGCUCAAAGCCUUUUCCACUCCACAGUACUGGUGUUCAGAAAUGUGUGAGCACCACACACAACAGCCUAGGACAGCCACCGGCCUCGCCUGGUUCUCAGCAUCGAACCACAACCUCUCACACCCUGGGGAAAAGAGAGGGGGGCUCAGAGGAAGAACCAGCCCUCAGCUCCCAACAUUAGAGUCCAGGGCAUUUAGAUAGUGGAGACAGCACUGUGGUCACUGCACCAUCAGACGGCACUGGCAGGAGCUAGGACGCCAGCCCACGCCAGCCCCGCAAGUUGUCCUGUGUGUGCCCGGUGCCUGGGACAUCUCUGAGGCACUUCAUUUCCACUGCCAGCAUGCUGUCUCCUGGCUCUUGGGUCAUGAGUGUGGGUGGCACUUCUUAGGGACUUGGGGCCAAGUCCUCCUGAAACAGAACCUUCUGCAAGUGCAGAGCCCCUGCACCUCACCUGGUCGGUCAUCACCUCCAUUGAGGAGCCUUGUUCACCUUGUCAUUUGCCCAGACUGGGAUCAGAAGCCAGAUAUUCUGAAGAAAGUGUUCUUCUAGGUUUGCUGCAAGCCACACCAAGCCUGGUGGCAUGGUCACACUCCUCACAUGCAGGGCAGAGGACAACCGGAAGUUGAAGGCCUCGGUGGUCUCUCGUGUCACCUACUAUCUGUGAGAUGAAGACUCUGCUGGGGCUAGCCUUACUUGGGUUUCAGCCCCAAGCAACCCCAUCAGGGCGUUCUGGCUGCCCCCUCAACCAGAACAUGUCUCUUGUCCCCUCUCUCAGUCUGUAGCAUACCUACUGUCCCUAUGAGGACCCCCAGGUCACAGUCUUCCCUGACCCUCCCUGCACAUGUCCCUUGUCCCUCUCUCAGUCUGUAGCAUACCUCCUGUUCAUAUGAGGACCCCAGGUCACAGUCUUCCCUGACCCUCUAAAGCUGCUUGUC